rnacentral:rRNA from 1 species
UGAAUACGAGACGCUAAGGCGUCGAAGUAGUGUAUGUCAUACUUCCAAGAAAAGCUUGCACUGCCAUAGAUAAAAAACGCCUGUACCAUAACCGACACAGGUGGGUAGGUAGAGUAUACUAAGGGGCGCGAGAUAACUCUCUCUAAGGAACUCGGCAAAAUAACUCCGUAACUUCGGGAGAAGGAGUGCCUUAUUCGUAAGGUUGCAAUAACAAGAUCCAAGCAACUGUUUAUCAAAAACACAGGUCUCCGCUAAGUCGUAAGACGAUGUAUGGGGGCUGACGCCUGCCCAGUGCCAGAAGGUUAAAGAAGUUGGUUAGCAAUUGCGAAGCUGAUAACUGAAGCCCUGGUGAACGGCGGCCGUAACUAUAACGGUCCUAAGGUAGCGAAAUUCCUUGUCGGGUAAGUUCCGACCCGCACGAAAGGCGUAAUGAUUUGGAUACUGUCUCGGAGAGGGGCUCGGUGAAAUAGACUUGUCUGUGAAGAUGCGGACUACCUGCACCAGGACAGAAAGACCCUAUGAAGCUUUACUGUAACUUGAAAUUGAAAUUGGACUUUAUUCGCGCAGUAUAGGUGGGAGGCGUUGAUUAUAAUCUUGUGGGAUUAUUGGAGCCAUCAGUGAGAUACCACUCUUGUAAUUUAGAUUUCUAACUUUGAAUCAUUAUAUGGUCAAAGAACAGUUUCAGGCGGGCAGUUUGACUGGGGCGGUCGCCUCCUAAACGGUAACGGAGGCGUACAAAGGUUUCCUCUGAACGGUUAGAAAUCGUAUCUAGAGUGUAAAGGCAUAAGGAAGCUUGACUGUGAGACCUACAAGUCGAGCAGGGACGAAAGUCGGUCUUAGUGAUCUGACGGUACUGAGUGGAAAGGCCGUCACUCAACGGAUAAAAGUUACUCUAGGAUAACAAGCUGAUCUCCCCCAAGAGUUCACAUCGACGGGGAGGUUUGGCACCUCGAUGUCGGCUCAUCGCAUCCUGGGGCGGUAGUACGUCCCAAGGGUUGGGCUGUUCGCCCAUGAAAGCGGUACCCGAGCUGGGUUCAGAACGUCGUGAGACAGUUCGGUCCAUAUCCGGUGUAGGCGUUAGAAUAUUGAGAGGAGCCUUCUUUAGUACGAGAGGACCGAGAAGGACAUACCUCUGGUGUACCAGUUAUCGUGCCAACGGUAAACGCUGGGUAGCUAUGUAUGGAGAGGAUAACCGCUGAAAGCAUACAGGUGGGAAGCCCACCUCAAGAUAAG